UUGUCACACACGUGUACGCCGCACGUUUCGUUCACGAUGCAUAUGAGGUAAGAGACGUUCUGCGAGCACGAUAUGGGAUGCCGCCGGAUGCAGCUCAAAUUGAAAGCUGUCGAUCGUCACGCCUUCAACUGUUAGCGGCAACGAUGUCCAAAGAACUGACGCAGUGUUGAAAGAGGCAUGGUCUUUGAUGCAGACAUGUGGGAUGGUCCUGAAAAGGGCUUCUUUUUGCCACAGGCAAGGGGUGCAAUGACAUGAAUGGAAUGGCUUCACUUAUCAUGUUGACAACCUUCUGCCACUUGCUGGAAUGGCUACAGAGAGCUUCCUUCUUCUUCUACAGAUAGCCUUCUUCCUUCAGAAGGCUAUCCAAGUUGUGAUGCUUAUGACGAAAUGCUCAAGUCUGAAAUUUUGCAUAACGUACCACGAAACACACAUUUUUAUAUGCAAAUAUAAAGCUGGGCAAUAAAAACAAACCUUACAGCACCGUUCAGGGGAAUACAACACCAUGUGUACGUGACGGAUGGGAAAAGGCUCCGGAUUGUGCGCACAACACAUCCUGGUAUCUGGCGCCUAUUCUUUGGACCAAGAUAUCCCCAGAUCCAGUUUGUAAAGCAUGCAUAUGCUGCAUAUCUGAUGCACCUGUAAGAAGAAAUGCAUAUACGUAUGCAUGUAAAUCCCGCAUUUGUUUCCUUGCGUCACAAUAAAU